UGGGGAAUAUUGGGCAAUGGGCGAAAGCCUGACCCAGCAACGCCGCGUGAAGGAAGAAGGCUUUCGGGUUGUAAACUUCUUUUCUCAGGGACGAACAGAUGACGGUACCUGAGGAAUAAGCCACGGCUAACUACGUGCCAGCAGCCGCGGUAAUACGUAGGUGGCAAGCGUUAUCCGGAUUUACUGGGUGUAAAGGGCGUGUAGGCGGGAAAGCAAGUCAGAUGUGAAAACCAUGGGCUCAACCUGUGGCCUGCAUUUGAAACUGUUUUUCCUUGAGUACUGGAGAGGCAGACGGAAUUCCUAGUGUAGCGGUGAAAUGCGUAGAUAUUAGGAGGAACACCAGUGGCGAAGGCGGUCUGCUGGACAGCAACUGACGCUGAGGCUCGAAAGCGUGGGGAUCGAACAGGAUUAGAUACC
rnacentral:rRNA from 1 species